UUUUUGUUUUGUUACAAGGGCGUACGGUGGAUGCCUUGGCAUGCUUAGCCGAUGAAGGACGUGUGAGGCUGCGUUAUGCCUCGGGGAGUUGCCAACAAAGCGUUGAUCCGAGGAUGUCCGAAUGGGGAAACCUGGCACUUGUUAUGGAGUGUUACCUGCAGAUGAAUGUAUAGUCUGUGUGGGGGUUACGCGGGGAAGUGAAACAUCUCAGUACCCGUAGGAGAAGAAAACAAUUGUGAUUCUGCUAGUAGUGGCGAGCGAACGUGGAUGAGGCUAAACCAUGCGUGUGUGAUACCUGGCAGGGGUUGCGCGUGUGGUGUUGUGGGCGAUGAUUGUGGGUAUGCUGCCAUGUACCCCUAUGAUGCGGCGUGUUAGCGGAAGUCACCUGGGAUGGUGUGCCGGAGAGGGUGAGAGCCCCUGUACGUGAAGGCGUGUCGUGUUGUGGUGAUUGUUUGCCCGAGUAGCAGUGGGCUCGUGGAAUCUGCUGUGAAUCUGCCGGGACCACCCGGUAAGCCUAAAUACUAAGUGUGACCGAUAGUGAAUAAGUACCGUGAGGGAAUGGUGAAAAGUACCCCGGGAGGGGAGUGAAAGAGUUCCUGAAACCGUGCGCUUACAAUCCGUCAGAGCACCGCGUGUGUGUGAUGGCGUGCCUUUUGAAGAAUGAGCCUGCGAGUCAGCGGCAUGUCGCGAGGUUAACCCGUGUGGGGUAGUCGUAGCGAAAGCGAAUCCUAAUUGGGUGUUGUAAGUGGCAUGUCCUGGACCCGAAGCGGGGUGAUCUACCCAUGGCCAGUGUGAAGCAGCUGUAAGAGGUUGUGGAGGCGCGAACCCACUUAGGUUGAAAACUGAGGGGAUGAGUUGUGGGUAGGGGUGAAAGGCCAAUCAAACUCCGUGAUAGCUGGUUCUCCCCGAAAUGCAUUUAGGUGCAGCGUUAUAGUAGUUUGCCGGAGGUAGAGCUACUGGUUGGUUGAGCGGGACUAUCAUCUUAGCAACAUCAGCCAAACUCCGAAUGCCGGUCAAGUGUUCUAUAGCAGUGAGACUGUGGGGGAUAAGCUUCAUAGUCGAGAGGGAAACAGCCCAGAUCGCCGGUUAAGGCCCCUAAGGGUGUACUAAGUGGAAAAGGAUGUGGGAUCGCGAAGACAGCCAGGAGGUUGGCUUAGAAGCAGCCAUCCUUGAAAGAGUGCGUAAUAGCUCACUGGUCGAGUGGUUCUGCGCCGACAAUGUAGUGGGGCUCAAGUACACCGCCGAAGCCGCGGCAUAGUUUUUACUAUGGGUAGGGGAGCGUCGUGCAUGGGGUGAAGCCAUACUGUAAGGGGUGGUGGACUGUGUGCGAGUGAGAAUGCAGGCAUGAGUAACGAGAGAUACGUGAGAAUCGUAUCCGCUGGAUGACUAAGGGUUCCUGGGUCAAGUUCGUCUUCCCAGGGUGAGUCGGGUCCUAAGGCGAGGCCGACAGGCGUAGUCGAUGGUCAACGGGUUGAUAUUCCCGUACCCGUAUGCAUGCGACAAAGAGUGAAGCGGUGAUACUAACCACCCUGAACUGGCAACAUGCGCACCACUUGUGGUGUGUGGUUGUUGGUGAUGCGUGGGGCCUGAUCCGUGGUAGUUCAGUGAUGGGGUGACGCAGUCAGGUAGCCGCGCCAAGUGUUGGAUAUCUUGGUGUAAGCGUGUGGCACGUCGACUUGUGAAAUGCGGUCGAUAUUUUGUGUGAGGCGUGAUGCGUAGCCCAAUUGUUGGGUGAUGGUGGUGAUCCUUUGCUGUCGAGAAAAGCCUCUAGCGAUGUGUGUGUAUGGCCCGUACCCGAAACCGACACAGGUGGUCAGGUAGAGAAUACUAAAGCGGUCGGGUGAACUGUGGUUAAGGAAUUCGGCAAAUUGCCCCCGUAACUUCGGGAGAAGGGGGGCCCUUGCUGGUUGCAUACUUUUUCGGUGUGUUGCUGGUGGGGGUCGCAGAGAAUAGAGGGGAGCGACUGUUUAUCAAAAACACAGGUCCGUGCGAAGACGGUUAAGUUGAUGUAUACGGACUGACGCCUGCCCGGUGCUGGAAGGUUAAGAGGACCUGUUAG
rnacentral:rRNA from 1 species